rnacentral:rRNA from 1 species
GACGAACGCUGGCGGCGUGCCUAAUACAUGCAAGUCGAGCGGAACACUUGGAGCUUGCUCCAAGCGUUUAGCGGCGGACGGGUGAGUAACACGUGGGCAACCUGCCCUGCAGAUCGGGAUAACUCCGGGAAACCGGUGCUAAUACCGAAUAGUUUGAAGCCUCACCUGAGGCUUCACGGAAAGACGGUUUCGGCUGUCACUGCAGGAUGGGCCCGCGGCGCAUUAGCUAGUUGGUGGGGUAACGGCCCACCAAGGCCACGAUGCGUAGCCGACCUGAGAGGGUGACCGGCCACACUGGGACUGAGACACGGCCAGACUCCUACGGGAGGCAGCAGUAGGGAAUCUUCCGCAAUGGACGCAAGUCUGACGGAGCAACGCCGCGUGAGUGACGAAGGUUUUCGGAUCGUAAAACUCUGUUGUGAGGGAAGAACACGUACCAACUAACUAUUGGUACCUUGACGGUACCUCACCAGAAAGCCACGGCUAACUACGUGCCAGCCGCCGCCGUAAAAC